rnacentral:tRNA from 1 species
AGGGAUGUAGCUUAGUGGUUACAGCAUGCAGAAGGUUCCAGGUUCAAAUCCUGGCAUCUCCC